rnacentral:tRNA from 1 species
UGGCAGAUAGCUUAAUCGGUAGAGCGCGUGAUUAUUAAUCACGUCGGUUUCGGUUCGAGUCCGAAUCUGCCAGCCA